CUCUUCCUCCCGAGCCUUUGCGGCGGAGCUUCGGUCGCGUUGAGCCGCGCCUCCUCUUCCUCCUCCACGCUGCCCUCGACAGGCCGCGCCACUUCCUGGGGUGCGAAGGGACUCGGGUGCGAGCCUGGGCCUGCAGCGCGGCGGCGGAGAGAACGGAGAGGACAGCUGGCGGGUGGUUAUCUGGAGUGGUUUGGGGCCGCGGCGGCGUUCUGGCCAGUGGGCCUUGGUGGGCUAGGAAGAGAGGCAGAAAAAGGUUACCCAGGAAACGGGCUUCGACGCCGGGCGAGGAGUGGCACGUUCGAAACCCCCUCCCUAACUCAGCCCGGCUGGACCCCGCUGCUUAACGGGGGGUCCUGCGGCAAAGAAAGUGGACGGGUUGCCACUUCUGUGCCUCCCCAUCAGGUAGCCUGGGCUAUAAGGGGCUCUCAGACCAGCUUGGUUCCAGAUGUGUGUGUGGCGGGAGUCCUGUAUACUUUGAAGAGGAGAGCAGCAAGAAGCCUCUAACUCCCAGGCCAGCGUGCAGGAGAUCAGCCGGCGUUACAGUCUACACUGGGCUACCCACUGUCCCAUGAAGUAGCAGUUCUCCCCAUGUCGUAGAGUGGGGCCCCGGCAGAUUAAGAAACUUUCCUAAGAGCCCACAGCUGGCAAGAGGCAGAAUUCUGGCUCCGAAACCCAUGUUUUCUACAGGUUUACCCUUUGUUGAUUUGCAAGGGUUGGGAAACUAGUUUCCAUGGCCAAACCUAGCCCACCGUCUGUUUUGGUGUCCAUGGAUUGGCGGGGACAGCUCUGCUUAAGGAUGUAGUAGCUCUGCAGGUUGGCUAGUUUCCUGUUCUUCCCAACCUGCGCUAUGGACUUCAUCAGAUUUCAGCAUCAGAGAGAAUAUGGAAGGACAUCGACCCUAACUUCAUCCAGUGAGGAUUUCCACACACCAUACACUCUCUGAGAGUUCUCUUGGCUUUGUGUGCACACCUCCAGUGACAGGGAGCUCGCUAUGUCAUGAGGCAGCCUGCUCCCUUGUGGCUAUCACUGAACCAACUAUUAAGCCUUCUUAUACAAACAGUCCCUGACUUACUGUUAGACUUACAACUUUUUGAUUUUACAGUGGUGCAAAAGCAAUAUGCAUUCCAUAGAAACUGUAUUUCAAAUUUUGAAUUUUGAUCUUUUCCAGGCUAGCAACAUAUGAAGACCAACCUUCUAUUUUUAAAAUAGGCUUUGUGUUAGAUGCUUUUGCCCAACUAUAGGUUAAUGUAAAUGUUCUGAGAAUAUUUGAGGAAGGCUAGGCUAAACUGUGAUCUUUGGGAGCUUAGAUAUGUUAAGUGCAUUUUCAACUUACAAUAUUUUCAACUUACGAUGAGUUUAUUGGGAUGAAGCCCGUUGUAAGUAAAGGAGCAUCUGCAUUAAGCUAAAAUCCAUGUCUAUAACUUCCUCAGUAAUAUCAAGUUUGUUCCUUGGAGCCAGAGAAUAAACUGAAUCCUUUUCCACGUGAUGGUCUUUCUGUUGUUUAAAGAGAUCAGCCAUGUACCUUCUCCCAACCUGAAGACAACUCCUCACCAGGCUACCUAUCAAUUCUACCUCUUUUUUUAAGAGAUGGGGUCUCACUAUGUUGCCCAGCCUGGUCUUGAACUCUGGGCUCAAGUGAUCCUCCCACCUCAGCCUUCCGAGUAGCCAGGAUUACAGGCACACACCACCAUGCCCAGCUCCAUUUCCAUUGUUCUUCAUGCUUCCUUAUUGAGUUCCUUCCCUGUCCCGAUUAUUCGUCUUUGAUUGGGCUUUGACUACCUGGGCAUUUAGUAGGGUCCAUAACUGAAUGCAGCAUUCCAGCCGGGGUCUAAGCAACAGAAUAGAGCAGGACCAUCAUCUCCGCAAUUUCCAAUAUCAUACUUUCAUCAAUGUCUUCCGAAACAACAUUCACUUUUUUAUGUUCAUGUUAAACUAAAAGACAGGGCUGAAGGCAGCAUCCUGGAACAGUGGAAACAUUCCUAUAAGUUGACUUGAAUCCUUUAAAUAAAGUC
rnacentral:lncRNA from 1 species